AUGCCUUCUUUGAAAAUUAGCUAUAACUACCUACCUUUCCUUCUAAAAAAAUGUUUCUCAUAUUGUGCCCUUUUCCCUGAAGAUUAUAGGUUUUAUAAUUUAGAUAUUACUAGCUUUUGGACUGCAAUAGGUAUCUUAGAUUCUAGUUGCCAAAAUAAUAAGAAUUAUUUAGAAGAACUAGUGGACAAUGGUUUUCUCAUGAAGGGAGGUGACAAUUCUGAAGAACAAUACUAUGUGAUGCAUGAUUUAUUGCAUGAACUAUCACAUAAUGUUUCAUCACAAGAAUGUGUUAAUAUAAGUAGUUUAAAAUUUAGUGCUGAUAACAUCCCACAGUCUCUUCGACACUUAUCAAUCACAAUAGAAGAUAUAUAUGAUGAAAGUUUUGAAGAAGAAAUGCGUAAACUGAAGGGUAGGAUAGACAUUGGAAAUUUGUGA
rnacentral:rRNA from 1 species